rnacentral:lncRNA from 1 species
AUCCCCUAUAACGAACACUCAUUCCUAUCUAUUGAUAGAAAAGAAAGAUCUUCGUCACGGACUUUUUCUUUGUUCUUUUUUUUAGAUUGGAGGAAUUCCUCAUAUCCAAGGCAGCUCCCCACAAACACCCCACCCAUAUGACUAUGCCCCCUUUUGAAUCGACAGUAGAUUGGGCUUCAUAGCUACUUUCAUUCUAAAGACGAAUAUUAGUCAAUAGGCAGGCUUCUUUCAGUAGCAAACAUAUUCAUUUUCACCGGGCUCCGCGCACCUUUGGUACUUCUGGAGGGCAAGCAGUUUUAUAGUGACUUCUUUCUUAGGGUAGGGCGACGAAUACUUCCAAUUCCGGAAAGGUCAUUGGGUCGCCUUUGGAAGCUAAAGCGAAAGUUGUAGAAAGCCGGGAGAAAAAGCGAAAGCUUGCUCGAAACGGCCUAUACCCUAACCCUCGGAAGCGAAGACGCAAAGCGUCACUUUUUUCAAAAGGAAGGAGUUUUUUCUGACUGAAUCCAUCCAUAAAGCCGCCAAGGAAACGAAGUUCGUUCCCUUUCAUCAAGUGGGUAAGGUAGGCAAACCACUUAAGCUUUGCCUUAGACUGACGGAACAAAGCUAAGAAGUAGGCUGAAUGGAAAAAGGAAAGGGACAAGGGCGGUCGUCGCUUGGUGCGAAGGCUGCUGGUUCGAUACGGUACUAAAGGUCCUCGGACUUCCAGGCGGUUUUUCUUUUGGGCUGCUGUGAACCCUUGGAUCUCGCCAAUACAGCCUCCUAUGGUUUUCGUUACCGAGAUAUCUUUUCUUUUUUCCCAGGGAUUUUUUGGGUAAUCAGCUCCCAUGCUGCAAACAGUCAAAUCUGAACCUUGUCGCUCUUCUUUCCUCGUGGGCAGGAAGCACACCAGCAGCGUGCGUUGCGUGAUUCCACUGUGUUUUUGGCACUUGACUGGGUGGACAGUUGACCGGAAGAUAACUUCGAUUCGCCCGGCCAGCAGGCGGGCGGCGUGCUUAUCUUGUGUGACAACACUACAGAGCGAGUAGCUCUUCUAGUCGGGCAGCUGUGUGACAACACUCCUGAGAAAGCGGCGCUUUUGUGUAACAUGCUAUGGUCUCAACGCCCUUACGAGGUAGUGAUGAGUUUCACGCGCUCUAAGCCCGGCCCGCGCGCAGUUAGGAGGAUUGGCCGCUAUCUGAGCGGUACCACCCACCCUACCCUACUACCUAUAGGGGGCCGUCCGUCCUACAGCCGCCCGAAAAGGAACUGCAGUAAUCUUGAAUAGGAAUCCUACAGCGAUAAAAAGAAUCCCCAUAAAAAUACCACUAGAUCGAGCACCAGUGAUUUCGUAUCCGGUCAAAAUCUUGGCUAAUUGAUCGAAGUGGGUAGCUCCAGUAGACCCAUAGAUCAUGGAACAAAUAGGGUGGGUAGGCCCAACCACCACACUACACGUAUAGACGCGAACCCCCCUCCUUACCGUACGUGCGACUCUCACCGCAUACGGCUCGCACAAAGACUCCAAAAUCCAUCCCGAGCUUUUUAUUCCACCUCUCCCUCCUCUCCAAUCCUCGAUCAAACUAGCCUUCCCCAGCAAGAAAACGUAUCCGCUUUAGCAACAAAGCGCUCAUCCCUUGCUUGUUCUUGAGCGCGCAAGGCGCUCAAGACGGUGAUUCUUGCUUAAAAAAGGGCUAAAGCACUCCAGCUUCGAAGCUGGAGUUUGCAACUUCAAAACUACAGGUUUUAGCCCUCCUGCUGGGUGGGCGCUUCCUUCGUCUAUCGUAUGUCUCGCUUGGCUUCGUCCCGAACCAAGGAGGCAUGAUGGCGGGCGCGUGCGUGUGCCGACUGCAGAGACUACAAGCCGACGCCGGAAGCGACUCGCUUCUAUUCUCGAUUGGAUAUAGAUGGGGAAUCUCUAUAGAUCGUCUUUUUUCGACAACCUCUCUAAAACGCAUACGAGAAAAUUGCACUUCACGGCACGGCAAAAAAAAGAGCUUCGCUCGAUUGGCCCUCCUAGGCUUCCGCCUACUUUCUCUUCUCUUAAGUCUACAACAAGUGGGAGAGGCAGGAUUCGAACCUACGUAGAAAACCUUCAACAGAUUUAUAGUCUGUCGCUUUUGACCGCUCGGCCACUCUCCCCUUCCCGGGGAUAUGCCCUCCUCAAACAAAGGGUUCCUGAAUAAGAAGGAUGGCGGCCUUUGUUCUUAAGUUAAGAAGAGCAGAUGGAACUAUUAGAUUUGCUAGCGUUCCGGGAGAAUAAAUAAGGUCAUUUAGUAAGUUCAUAACAAUUUAUGUAAAGCAAGGGGCAAAGCUUCUACGACAGCUUCCCCCUCAUUGCCAUCAUCGGCCUUCCCCAGCUCCCCUCCUUCAUUGCUUCUGGCUAAGCAUCUUUCGGCGGAGGAAAGGAGGCGACUAGUCGCUUCUGGCGAAGCAGCGAGUUCAUGAGCAAGUGAAUGAACGAGCAGCGAGUGAAGUGCAACAGUCAUAAGUAAGGCUCGCCAUGUUCCUAAAAGGAGUGACCAUCUUUUCUUCCCUUCUACUGACACUGAGCGAGCAGCAAGCAUAGGCAAUAGUUUCCGUAGGGGUGGGGCGCAAGCAAGCAUUUUCAGGCUCCGCUAGCUAGCGUACUCUUCUGCUAUCAAUGAAACCGAAAGAAAAAACCAGUGCCCUUUCGUAUAGAUCGAGACGCAGUACUUUUUCUUUACUUCUUCCAUACUAGGAAGAAUGGAAGGAAAUCCUUCGAUAACACUUCUUCCUUAUUUGAAGAAAUGAUAUCCGACGCCCGUGGAAACUCUUUCAUUUCAAAAAAGUUCUUCUUCUUAAGAAGCAAAUAGCAUUUCCUAUUGAUUUGUCCCCUGGACUAGACCUAUGUAGAUUCGGAAUUAUCCGUCGCUACGCUGUUCCCAAGGACUAGCAAAAUCGAAAUAGCGAAAUUCUUGGGUCAUCUCAAUGGGUUCAGAAACCACACGUUUCUCUGGAUCAUCAUAGCGUACUUCCACAUAUCCACUCAGAGGAAAGUCUUUUCGUAAUGGAUGACCCUCGAAACCAUAAUCUGUUGAUAUACGGUGUAAAUCCGGAUGAUUGAUGGAAGAAACACCAGACAUAUCCCAUACUUCUCGCUCCCACCGGCCGGCUGAUGGAAAUAGACUGACUACCGGAGAUAUUCGUGUUACUUCGUCUGCACUUGUUUGUACACGAAUGCGUGAGUUAUACCGAGUACUCAGUAAAUUACGAACAACUUCAAAUCUGCGUUUUCGAGAGGGAUGAUCCACUCCGCAAAUAUCGAUCGAAACUUGAACCCUUGUAUAGGUAUGCCAUUUUAGAAAGCACAACAAUGGAAAUGGGUAGUCAGUAUUGGUAUAAGAUCUAUUCCCAUGUUCCGAUCUUUUCAUUUUAUGUACCCAUUUCUUGGGUAAAAUCUCCCAACUAUAUUGGAAAAUGGAUUGGUUAUCCAUAAAUGAAAAUAAAGAAAGCUUUAUUUUGGUUCCGCUUCUUGCUCUAAGCAGAAAGACUUGUCGAAAAUCGCCGGUUGGGUUGGUCCGACCAAGAAAGGCAUGGGAGUGGAGAGGCAGAAGUGAAAGACUGGCUACCAAUAAAGAUCCAAAACUGCACACUUUAUAUAGUUAUGUAUCCAGGAUCGGCUGCAUGCUCUAGUGUUGAAUCGGGUAUAGAACCCAGGAUGCUUGGUUACAAUUCCGAAUCCGCUAAACCAUCGCUCGGGGAAAAGUAUUAUACAGAGCAUUAGUACUUAUUCUGAUCCUUUCCUUAUAUUUAGAUUCUAGUAGUUUAUUUCAGUCGUAUUCGUAUCCUUACUGUGGUUUAGUAAGGGUAACAAAUAAAAGUAUGCAGGUUCUAUUUUAUUGUUCCGAGACAUAUGAUGAUAGCAUUGAGAAUGAGAAAUCUUUGCAAAAUGCACGUAUUAUUAAGGAGUUCUGGAACGAUUACUACGCUAAGCUGUUGGAUAUUGACAAAACGAAAAAGACUUCUAAUGUUGAUAUGUAUCAGGAUGAUGUUAGAAAGUUGUUGAUUAAUGAAAAGAAGAAUCAAAAUGGUGUGUUUUCCGAUACUGAAUUAAUAGAUUUACAGAAUCAAAUUGCAAAUUGCACAAUGAAGUUCGAUGAGGAUAAUCUAUUUAAAGUAACUCCUAACAUAGUAAAGUUCUUGAUUAAUAAAGAUCAGCCUAACGCUAAGCAAUAUCUAAAGGGUUGCCUACCAAGUAGCUUACCUAUGCUUAAGAUGUUUGGUAUCUAUACGCUUGAGGCUAUCAUGAUUCAUGUACUAGGCUUGGUAUUCAACACUCUUCAGGAAUCAUCCGCAGUUAAGGCAGCUAGAUUUAUAGAUCAACUUAAUUCAACUGUACGAGAACAAGCAAGGUUUCUACAAUACAAAGCACCAGGUAGUGGUAAGGUGGAAGCAGUACUCACUAGUAAGGUAGAAUCAGUUAAGGAUGUUGUUCAGCACAAAGGUGCUAGCAAAAAAGAGAAAAAGAAAAAAAUGCAGUGUCAUUAUGAUAUCGGGAAAUACUUGCUCCAAUUCAUGAUUGAAAGAAAUGUUCUACAUAUAUCAACAGAUAGGGGAGUAACAAAAGAAGAUCCAGUGCUGGUUCUUAAGAAAGGUCAAGGGUAUAUAGAGAAUUCUUGUUAUGUUAUGUGCAAUUUGAACAUAAAUCUGCUCCCUAUCAAACUCAAUCUUCCGAUGCUUUGCAAACCCUUGGAUUGGCAACCAGCAGAGAGGGGGUCUGAUCCUGAUACAUUAUCGGAUCUGAUAGGAGGUUACUUAUGCAAACCCACGGUGGAUAUCUAGAAUCACUUUCGGCUAUUAACUUCCCAUGACUUAAACCACUUCUAUAUAAAGUUACAUAAAAAAGAAUACAAGCAGAUGUGUGAUAUUUUGAAUGGGCUUCAGUCUCAAGCGUUUGAAAUAAACAAAAGGCUCUUGAGAUUUCUGGAAAAGAAUCGUCAAUGUUUAGUUGAGUGUGGGCUUCUUUUACCAAAUGCUCUGGCUCGCGUGAAUCCGACAGAAGC